rnacentral:lncRNA from 1 species
GAAGCUGAAUACACUCCUCCAUGUCGUGGCCGUGGUCAUGAUGAUAUAGGCAGAACUUGUUAGGAUUGCACUUCUCGAGGUGUGUGCGCAUCCUUUCCGGCCUUGGCAGCUGUUCCCUAACCUCCAUCAGCACUUGAGUUUUCGAUGUGUUGAGAGGGGCGUAGCUAUAGAAUCUUUUCGAGGGAGAGCUCCGCCGAACUCUGUGGUCCGGGCUCCUCUACCUACGAGCUCGAGGGGGAGUCUGGACGUGCUUGUGUCUGGAGGGAGUUCGAGAACGUGGCUGAGCUUCACUCGGCCCUUUUUCAACUGCGGGCUUGCUGCAGUUCCCCACCUGCCGCUCCUUCACGGCCUCCUCGUCCUUCAUCUUGAAGGCUUCUUCUACUCGGGCAUAUCCUUCGGCCCGAGCCAGCAAAUCAGCAAAGUCCCUGGGAUAUUUCUUUUUCAGGAAAAAUAAAAGAUCAUUCUUUUGAAGACCGCCCUUCAGGGUGACCAUUACGACUGAUUGGUCCAAGCUUCGGACCUCCAACGUGGCGACGUUAAAGCAGUUGACGUAGGCUCGGAUUGAUUCUCCUUCCUUCUACUUGAUGUUGAUAAGGGACUCCGAACCUCUCCGGAGAUGCCGGCUGCUAACAAAAUGAGCCACAAACUGGUGGCUCAUCUGAUCAAAGGAGAAGAUAAUACCUGGCUUCAUUGUCGAGUACCAGUUCCUUGCUGCUCCCUUCAAGGUAGAUGGGAAAGCUCGGCACAGGAUGGCGUCUGGCCACCAUGGAGCAGCAUCAUUAUCCGGAAGGCCUCUAGGUGGUCAACCAGAUCCAAGGUCCCGUCGUAGCUUUCGAAUUGGGGGAGCUUGAAGUUUGGUGGGAUCAGUUCCU